rnacentral:rRNA from 1 species
UGGCGGACGGGUGAGUAAUGUCUGGGAAACUGCCCGAUGGAGGGGGAUAACUACUGGAAACGGUAGCUAAUACCGCAUAACGUCGCAAGACCAAAGAGGGGACCUUCGGGCCUCUUGCCAUCGGAUGUGCCCAGAUGGGAUUAGCUAGUAGGUGGGGUAACGGCUCACCUAGGCGACGAUCCCUAGCUGGUCUGAGAGGAUGACCAGCCACAUUGGAACUGAGACACGGUCCAG